rnacentral:sRNA from 1 species
GGCGAAUAUACUGAGUAAUAACAUAUACAUACAUAUGUGAUAUACUCGUAUGCCAGGAAUCACAGCAGCUCAUUCGUGUGCUCGAAUCGUAUGUCAAGUCGACAGAUUUACAAAAGGCAAUCCUUCCUCAGGGUUCAAGAUUCAAAGGCCCCAGAAGGGCCUUUCUUUCGGUCUCCCUCCGCCGUGAGGAUUCACUUUAAAGACUUUUUGUGGUUUUUUGUAGCCACGUGUAACGUAUCACGUGUUCUUUCCUUUGUUAGAACGGGACAGCCAUACAUACUCCUACCGAUUUGCUCUCUAACCGGAACCGAUCAUCUCCAUUCCAGGUCUCACUACCUCUCCCUCUCGCUCUGUCUAUUAGCUCUUGCUUUUGACAUUGAAGUGACCUUUAACCCAUUAACCCUAUUAUGACAAGCUCUAAAGAUGAUUUGUACUUGGAGAAUAUUUAUAGUCCCAAGGAAUUCCCGAGUUUCAUGAGGUAACCCAUAGCGGUAGUAUAUGGAUAGAUUUACGCCUGAUAUGUAUGUACCCUUAAAGAUUGGUGUAGUCCCAAAGAAUUCCAACAUUUCCCAUGAUGCACAUAUUAGGACCAGCGAUGAUGCGCGUAUAUCACAGGCAGAAGGCCGUAAAAAGAACCAGUAGAGGAGCUAACCCUGAUUUGGGAUAGAGGAACCCACGGAGAAACGUGACACGUAUCAGAGAAUCCUAAAAGAUCUACCAAAUAUAUACAUAUGUACAUACAUGUACAUCUUUAAAGAACAAACUCCACUUUGAGCUUGAGGUGUUUUCUAGCAAUGCGUAAAAUACUUUAUUCAACGUCACGUUAAAUGGUUCUACAAAAGAUUGCUUGAUCGAUUGAUUGAUUGAACUACUUUGCACUUAAAAAAAAAAAA